GGAAAGUAGCUGGCGGGAGCGGCGUUAAUAGGAAGUGGGCAAGCUUGAAUUGGAAGUACUUGGAGGAAAGGGUGCGUAGGUGGUGCGGUAAGUCUGUCGUGAAAUCCCCGGGCUCAAGCUGGGAAUGGCGAUGGAUACUGGCGAGCUAGAGGGUGUCAGAGGAUGGUGGAAGUCCCGGGGUAGCGGUGAAAUGCGUAGAGAUCGGGAGGAACAUCAGUGGCGAAGGCGGCCAUCUGGGACAACACUGACGCUGAAGCACGAAAGCGUGGGGAGCAAACAGGAUUAGAUACCCUGGUAGUC
rnacentral:rRNA from 1 species